GUAAACACAAAAUAUUACUUUGUAAAGGUGAAUAAACUAGAAAAACACUCUAACAUAAAUCCUCAAUAGAUCAAAUCCAUGGAUUACGGAGUAGUAUUAUCAUUUUAUCAAGACAUAUCCACACCUGUAACAUUCAUAUGAUAAAGAUAAUAUAAAACAUGUCAUUCAAAACAUACCUAAGCAGAGCCUCUCAACAUUCCUGCAUAAGCUGUUUUCAAGAGAGGCCUUUCCAUGAAAAGGGUGUUACAACGAAACAGUAAGGGUUCUCUGACUGGACAAAGUGGGUCAUUUUAUUGUAAAGGGUAUGGCCAGGGGCAAUUGGUGGUUUUCUUCAUCUAAGAGUAGCUACUUAUGAAUUAAUUCAAACACUUUUCCGACAGAGAGGUAUAUGCUUUCAAGUCUACCAGGGUCCUGGAUUCCAUGAUCACUCAGACUCACCUAUGCCAUCAGUGUCAUUAUUUAUUCUUAUGCUGAACGGUGCAUUUUAUUUUCUCCAGCACUUGCGUCAUUCAGGGCACUCUUUGGCACACAGCGUGGACAUGUUAUUGAUGCACACAGACAUUCUUGAGACACCCCCAUUUGGCUUUCC